UACGGAGGGGGCUAGCGUUGCUCGGAAUCACUGGGCGUAAAGGGUGCGUAGGCGGGUCUUUUAAGUCAGGGGUGAAAUCCUGGAGCUCAACUCCAGAACUGCCUUUGAUACUGGCGAUCUUGAGUUCGGGAGAGGUGAGUGGAACUGCGAGUGUAGAGGUGAAAUUCGUAGAUAUUCGCAAGAACACCAGUGGCGAAGGCGGCUCACUGGCCCGAUACU
rnacentral:rRNA from 1 species